rnacentral:tRNA from 1 species
GGUGAGGUGGGUGAGUGGCUUAAACCAACAGUUUGCUAAACUGUCGUACGGGCAACCGUACCAAGGGUUCGAAUCCCUUCCUCACCG